rnacentral:misc_RNA from 1 species
GAUGAAGAACGUAGCGAAAUGCGAUACGUAAUGUGAAUUGCAGAAUUCAGAGAAUCAUCGAGUCUUUGAACGCACAUUGCGCCCCCUGGUAUUCCGGGGGGCAUGCCUGUCCGAGCGUCAUUGCUGCCCUCAAGCACGGCUUGUGUGUUGGGCCUCCGUCCUCCUCCCGGGGGACGGGCCCGAAAGGCAGCGGCGGCACCGCGUCCGGUCCUCGAGCGUAUGGGGCUUCGUCACCCGCUCUUGUAGGCCCGGCCGGCGCUUGCCGAAACAUCAAUCUUUUUUCCAGGUUGAACUCGGAUCAGGUAGGGAUACCCGCUGAACUUAAGCAUAUCAAUAAGCGGAGGA